rnacentral:rRNA from 1 species
UACGUAGGGGGCUAGCGUUGUCCGGAAUCAUUGGGCGUAAAGCGCGUGUAGGCGGUCCGGUAAGUCCGCUGUGAAAGUCGGGGGCUCAACCCUCGAAUGCCGGUGGAUACUGUCGGGCUAGAGUGCGGAAGAGGCGAGUGGAAUUCCUGGUGUAGCGGUGAAAUGCGCAGAUAUCAGGAGGAACACCAAUUGCGAAGGCAGCUCGCUGGGACGUUACUGACGCUGAGACGCGAAAGCAUGGGGAGCGAACAGG